UUCCAAGAAAUGUUUCUGGUUUCUGGAAAGAAUGGAAAAUAAUUCCAGAGCUUUAAAGACUGUGGGUCUGGACAAUACUCAGAAUCUAGGCUGAAGAAUCUGCAGCUCCCUGAAGAUUUUCCACAAGGUGAUGCCUGCCUGGAGUAGAUACAGUUCUGCACAUCCUGCAGCUUUGACAGUGAUGAAGUCACUUGUGUAUACACUGCUCAGGGAUUGUGAAUUUACAAGCUAUCCAGAGCCUGUUGGCCGGCUGUGAGCAGCUUUGUCGGUAACCAGCAGUUGGCUGGUAGUGUCCUGAGCAAGAAGGGACCUUGAAUUGCUCACUGCCGGCAGCAGCAAAACCUGGGAAGCUGGCAACCCAGACAAAACCUGUUGCUCAGGACCGGUUUGUGCCUUCAACCCGCGGCUGGGACUCUUGGCCAAGAGCAGGCGGUUGUGAUGGCGAUGUUCUCUUACCCUCAAAGUCCCCCGACCCCUCUCCAGGUGAACUCUGGUAAACUCAGUUGAAUUUCUUUAGGAAGGUUUCUGGGAAGAGAGAAAUCUCAAAUAUAAUCAUAAGGAAAUGUCUAAUUCCAAAAGCUCCUGAAGUCUUAC
rnacentral:lncRNA from 1 species